UUCCGCUUUACUCCUCGGUCUUCUCAGCGGCGACUUCACCAACAGCCACAACUUCCUCUGCCUCAGCCUUCUUCUCCUCCUCCACAACCGCCGGAGUUUCAGUCACCUCCUCCUUCUCUUCUGUUUUUGCCUCCUCCACAACGACCGGAGUUUCUGUCUUGUCUUCUUCCUCCUCUACCUUUGGCUCCUCUGGUUUCUUCUCAGUUUCUUCAUCUUUUUUCUCUGCCUCUUCCACAACCACUUCCUUGCUCG
rnacentral:lncRNA from 1 species